AGCAUCUCAUGGGGGUGCCCGGCAAAAAUGGACCGGGCUGAGAGGCAAGUGGCCAACUCCUUGAACCUGAUCCGGCUUGUACCGGCGGAGGGAUUUGAGAUGAGUGACUUG
rnacentral:ncRNA from 2 species